rnacentral:rRNA from 1 species
AGGAUGAACGCUGGCGGCGUGCCUAAUACAUGCAAGUCGAGCGGUAAGGCUCCUCCAGUUUAUUUGAUAACAACCGACCUACAGGCUAGUAGGAAGGAUCGAAUAAAGUGGUGGAGUACACGAGCGGCGGACGGCUGAGUAACGCGUAGGAACGUACCCCAAAGUGAGGGAUAACUGCUCGAAAGAGUAGCUAAUACCGCAUGUGGUCUUCGGAUUAAAGCUUCGGCGCUUUGGGAGCGGCCUGCGUAUGAUUAGAUUGUUGGUGAGGUAAUGGCUCACCAAGUCCACGAUCAUUAGCUGGUCUGAGAGGAUGAUCAGCCAGACUGGAACUGAGAACGGUCCAGACUCCUAGGGAGGCAGCAGUAGGAAUUUCCACAAUGGACGAAAGUCUGAUGGAGCAACGCCGCGUGCAGGAUGAAGGCUCUAGGUCGUAAACUGUCUUUAUAUGUGACGAAUAUGACGGUAGCAUAUGAAUAAG